GGUGCUUACACAUGCAAGUCGAACGAUGAACCACUUCGGUGGGGAUUAGUGGCGAACGGGUGAGUAACACGUGGGCAAUCUGCCCUGCACUCUGGGACAAGCCCUGGAAACGGGGUCUAAUACCGGAUACUGAUCCUCGCAGGCAUCUGCGAGGUUCGAAAGCUCCGGCGGUGCAGGAUGAGCCCGCGGCCUAUCAGCUAGUUGGUGAGGUAACGGCUCACCAAGGCGACGACGGGUAGCCGGCCUGAGAGGGCGACCGGCCACACUGGGACUGAGACACGGCCCAGACUCCUACGGGAGGCAGCAGUGGGGAAUAUUGCACAAUGGGCGAAAGCCUGAUGCAGCGACGCCGCGUGAGGGAUGACGGCCUUCGGGUUGUAAACCUCUUUCAGCAGGGAAGAAGCGAAAGUGACGGUACCUGCAGAAGAAGCGCCGGCUAACUACGUGCCAGCAGCCGCGGUAAUACGUAGGGCGCAAGCGUUGUCCGGAAUUAUUGGGCGUAAAGAGCUCGUAGGCGGCUUGUCACGUCGGUUGUGAAAGCCCGGGGCUUAACCCCGGGUCUGCAGUCGAUACGGGCAGGCUAGAGUUCGGUAGGGGAGAUCGGAAUUCCUGGUGUAGCGGUGAAAUGCGCAGAUAUCAGGAGGAACACCGGUGGCGAAGGCGGAUCUCUGGGCCGAUACUGACGCUGAGGAGCGAAAGCGUGGGGAGCG
rnacentral:rRNA from 1 species